UCUUUUUAUCUUCAAAGAUGAGAUCACUGGGCCUGCAAAUGAGAGUGGUGUUGGGCAGGGUGGUCAACAUUUCUGGAUGCUGACUUCAGAUUUUCAGGACUCUUGGGCCUUUGCCAUCAGAUGCUGAGUUUCUACAAGGCCAUCUUAAGAACUGAAACAUACCAGAAAGAGUGGAGAUUUAAUACUUCAUCUCCAUGGAUGUAGACCAGUUCAACACAACUGAUCUUGAUUGAGCUUACUGGCAACAGCGUCCACAUUCUGACUCCGCGAAAUCCCUCAUUCCCUGUUCAAACCUG
rnacentral:lncRNA from 1 species